rnacentral:rRNA from 1 species
GACAGAGGGUGCAAACGUUGCUCGGAAUCACUGGGCGUAAAGGGCGUGUAGGCGGGACGGUAAGUCGGGCGUGAAAUCCCUAGGCUCAACCUAGGAACUGCACUCGAAACUACCAUUCUUGAGUGUCGGAGAGGAAAGCGGAAUUCCUGGUGUAGAGGUGAAAUUCGUAGAUAUCAGGAGGAACACCGGUGGCGAAGGCGGACUUCUGGGACCGAUACUGACGCUGAGGACGAAGAAGCGUGGGGAGCAAACAGG